rfam:Jaapia argillacea MTCL 33604 unplaced genomic scaffold JAAARscaffold_9, whole genome shotgun sequence.
GGCAUCUUAGCCAAGUGGUUACGGCGACAGAUUAGAACAUAAUAGUACUUAUCUGUUUCCCUUUGGGAGCGUAGGUUCGAGUCCUGCAGAUGUCA